GAUAUUUAAAAAUAAACAUUUUCUCAGUUUUAUAUGUAGUAAUUUCUACACAAGUGCAACUAAAGAAAAUAAACUCAGAAUGGAUCACUAAUUAAUCCUGAUUGUUAAAAUGCCCAAUAUGUCUAGGAUUUCAAUACAAUUUUAUAAAAGUUAUAAACAAAUAUUAGAAGGAGAAAAUUACUGUUUUAAAGCAAAAAGUUUGGCAUGCUGAGAUUACACCAUAUUAUGCUAGUCACAAGAUCCAAAACCGCUACACAAAAGCAUACAUUUGUAGAAAGAACAUCCCCCAGGCUAUUAAACUAAGAGCAUAUUGACACUUUUCAUUUAACCAACUUCUCACAAAGCUCAGUCAAAAUAUUUACUGGUUUUAUUUUAUUAUCAUGUGUCUUAUUUUGGGGAAAUUCACAGACCACACAUGUCAAACUACAGAAAACAACCCAUAUUUGUAUGCUGCUUCUGUUCUCAAGUACAAUGAUACCCCACGUCUAGUCCUUUUCCCCUGUUACAAUCCCUAACACUACCAAUAGUCCAACUUCUAAUCCUUCCUAUAAUCAUACAUACCUGUGAGGGAUUACCUGAGACAAGCAGAACGAUUUCCCAGCUCACACAACACAGAGUGUACUGUGUGAUUUGUGGAGUGUGGAUUUCAUACAUUUCAUCUCAUGCUGCAGCUCCUGAAACUGUGAUCGGUGCUGGGCAGCUGGCAAAGGCCAGCAGCGAUCACUGGUUGAGAGGCAUGCUGGGAGACCUCCCCAGGAUGUUUUCAGACCCUGGGGUCUCCCUCAAACUUGAUGCAUACUUAAAAUAAGUUUUUGAAUUAAUUUAAAGGGCCAUGAGCGCUGCACAUAGCUCAUCUGACUGUCUGGGAGAAUUAUGGCCUCAGCUGACAGAGUAGACCCGCCGGUACUAUCAGGCAUUUAACCCUGCUGGUACUUUUAAUGAAUGAUUUUAAGCUUAACUCUUUCAUGCGUUUGUUAAGGGGUUAAUAUAAUUCUCAUAGCUCCAGUGUAAUCCACAAUUUUACAAUGGGGAUAUAAAACAACAAAUAAAUGACAAAGUAUGUGAACAGGACAAGUAGUGGAAGUACUGUCUUAGACAAGCUUACAUUUUAGGAGGAAGGUGGUUAAAAACACAGAGGAAGAACAACAUGUCAGAGAGAAAUAGCAAUGAUACUCAGACCUAGCUAAAUUUGUGAAAGAUACAAUAAGUUUGAAGGAGAGCUGUAAAGUAGGAGGUUAAAGGAACAUGUAUUCCUGACCCUAUAGUGUUAAAACCACCAUUUAGGUGGCUUAACCCCCAUAGAAGGGCUUAAAACAUUACUUAUUUCCAGCGCUGCGUAGGUCCUCCGGUGCUGGCUCUGCUCCGACCCACCUCCUUGGUGACAUCACCAGAAUUUAUCAUUUUUAGCCAAUCCAAUGCAUUUGCUGAAAUAGGAAAGGAAGCGGGAUGGGGGUGGGGCCAAACACAGUUUUUUUUAAUCAAAGCAUCUCUAUGAGGAAAAUUCAGCUCUAAAUGCAGAGCGUAGAAACGCUGAACUGCAGUGCUGCCUACUGUGCAGCACUGCCCCAGGAAGCACCUCCAGUAACCAUCUGAGGAGUGGCCAGAAAACAUAUCCCUACGGGCAAUGAAAACACUGCCUUUUCUCUGAACACGCAGUGUUUGUUUGAAAAUGCCUGAAGGGAAUGAUGAUACUCACCAGAACAACAUUAAGCUGUAGUUGUUCUGGUAACUAUAGUGUCUAUAUUUAACCCCUUAGUGACCUCAGGUACGCCCGACAAAACCUGGUACGUUUGCGACUAGAGUGCUAGAAGCGAUCAUGAUCGCUUCCAGACGCUCUAACGGUAUUGCAGCAAUGCCUCAAUGUCGAAGCAUUGUGCAAAACCCCCCUCGCUGCCGGGCCGCUGGGUGAUCGCUCCCUUGGCGUCCGGCAGUGAGGCAGAGCAUCAGAAGCCAUCAGGCAGACUUCCAAUGUGCUGCCUGUGCUGAGUGCCUCGACCCCUCGAAGAAUAAGUGAAGAAUAAAUUAAAUAAGUAAAAUUACAAAAAUAAAUGAAAAGCAAUAACUACAUUUAACCCCUUCCCUCUACCUUCAUAUGUACUUACCCAAUCGUCGCCGUUCUUCCACCGGCGAUCAGUGUUCUUCUAUGGGGGGACUGUCUGACAGCCCAGACAGUCUCCCCCUGCACUUUUAGCUAACAAACAAAUAUAAAUGCUAACUUUGGCCAGUGUUUGUGACUAAGUAGCUACUAAAAAAGACUGGACACUCCCCAUACUGAAUACCGUGGGUUGUCUACUUAAAAAAAAUAUAUAUGGUUUGAUGGGGGUAAAUUACAUUGUCCGGCCUCAAAAAUAUCCCAAAUAGGACAUGGGUGCAUGAUAUUCAGCUGUGAAAAUUCCAAGUUGGAAAACUGGAAUGCUCUCCUUUCAAAUAAGGUAUUUUAGCCCCCAGAGGACCUGAUAUACCUAUACCUGUGUGGUAUCUCUGUACUCAGGAGAUGUUGCUGAACACAUAUUGGGGUGUUCUUUGGCAGUAACCAUUAAAGUUCUCAGUACAUGUAUUCUUAAAUUGCUGUGUGUGUCAAAAU
rnacentral:lncRNA from 1 species